UUACUUUUCUACAGAGUGAUCGUUUGCUUCCAACCAGCUUGGUUAGGCUGGUUGGGGGGCAGCCAUGGGAUACAUGGCUUCGGUUUUCGGGAUUCGUUUGAGGCGUCGAUUUCCAUUUGGGAUGGCGCUUUGCGAAUCUCACCGUUCGUUUAGUCUUCAUCUCAUCUCAUGUGUCGUUCGUUCAGCCAUUCCAAAGUUCGUCUGAGAGAUUUUCAAUCUGCGAGUUCUUUCAUCCUCUGUCCAACGUUCGUCUAAUAGAUUUUCGAUCUACCAGUUCUUCCAUUGUUUCUCUUCAGGUUUUGCAAGAUGAUGGUAGUGUAUGAGAGCGUCAAGAGGAGGCUGUGAGUAGAAGGCGGUUCUUUGCAGGCUAGACAAGCAAAAGUUCCCUCUUUGGACUUGCUCCACUUGAAGCAGUGCUAUUUAAUAUUGAUAGAACUCCAUGUGAUUUAGAUCCUAUUCAUUUCAAUGCCUUCCACAAAAUGCUUCUAUAGUUUUUGCAAGAUGUUAACAGUGUACAAGAGAAUCCAGAAGAGGCUAUGAGUAGAAGGAGGUUCUUUGCAGGUAUUGUGCUACAAAUUUCAAGUGGAACCAAGUGUUAUUUUACUAAGAUUUGUAGGUGUUGUGACAUAAAUGGCAAUACAGUUUAUUUUUGUACUAUAUCAGCUUACUUCCUCAUUGGAUUAAACUUAGUCUAUAAAUGGCAAUAUAUGUAUAAGUUUUGACCAUAGGUGUCUAUAGAUUUUCUAUGCUUCUGUACAACAAACUUGCGCAAGGUUUAUGGGUAUUUGGUUUGAUUUUAUUAAAGUUUGGAUCUUUUGGUUGCA